CGCAUUGAGAAGAGGAUUGUUAUAACUGGGGACACAGAGAUCGAUCACGAUAAGGCUCUGGCCCAGGCCAUCAAGGAGGCGAAGGAGCAGCACCCGGACAUGUCUGUGACCAGAGUGGUGGUGCACCAGGAAACAGAUCACCCCAGAUUAACCCCAGACUCACCUCUCCUAUAACCAGCUGGGGGCCAAAACUACCACGGCGCCUGGGAAGAUGAACUCACACUCAUCCCCUGUCCGCCCUGACCUUCUCCGCUUGUUUCACCACCAUUCCUACUUGUUUACCUCAGAGCCCCC